rnacentral:lncRNA from 1 species
CUGAAAUGUCAUUUUGUCCAAGUGGGACCAAAAAGAAAAUUUGAAAUAUUCACAUUUUUUCAAAAAAUAAACAGGAUCCUUCACAAACCUCUCUAACAACAAGAUGGAUGAGUAGGCUUGUUAGCAGUCUCUGCUACCCCAAGAAUUCAUUAGACACUCUGGAGAAAAUGUUCCCAGAGAUGGAAUGGCACUGAAGAUAGAUUCUCAGAACACACCAGGAUUUGUAUCUCCUACUCAACUGCAAAAAGAACACCCAAGAUUAUAGAGCCAUGAAACCAACUAAAAUCAUGUAACUAAAUACCAUGAUUUUUAGGACAAACAGAUCACCAGAAUGUACAGCCAUCAAGUAAGGUAAGCUACGUAAUGUUGUUACUGUGGUUCCAGGACAAUUUAGCAGUGUUAUUGAAAGUAGCCUGUGCUCAGUCUGUGGCGUGACUACCACUAAUGUUACACGUCUUCCCUUGUUUGUACUGUUCCAGGUCAUAAGAAUGGUUGGAUCAAAUGACAAUGAGACAGUUGUGCCCAAAUUUCUAUGUAGUAUAUACAGAUGAGAAAUCUGAUCUUGAAGGCGUGGAGAGCUAUUUAUCACUAAUGCAUGAAAGGCUUUUGGGAAACUGCAAGCAAAAUUCAGAGGGAUGGAUGGCAGCACCUUGAAGCAGACACACAUUGUACUAACUGGUGGGCAUUAUUCUGGACGUCGGAAAUCUGUAGUCCUGAGCAACAGCAGUAUCCUCAGGAGCCUCUGAUGGAAGUGGAUGACAUUUGGAGGUACAUUGAAGAACAACAAUGACUCACACAGGGAGGUUCAAAAUGAACUGAUGGACCUGAAAACGGACAGAGUGAAUUUGCCUCUUAAUCUGUGUUGACUGAAGAGGGAUUCUGGCUGAGGCUGAAGCCAUUCACCUAACUUUAGUUAAUUAAAGCUAGGUGAAAUAAAUUCUAGCCCCAGUGUCUUUUACCUGAACA